rnacentral:lncRNA from 1 species
UAUUCGCUCCGAGAAAUCACAAAAGAGUCCAUCAUGAACUCGCUAGUCUAGAGUAUUUAUAAAUACAGAUUCUCCCAAACUAUGCAACGAUGUCUGUGUGUUUAAAUUUUACCGAAAUCUCGCACCUAUUUCGUUGCGUUGUUGUUGUUGUCAAUUUAAAGUUGCUGUCGUUACUACAGUUUGAUCUUUGACCUCAGCCAUUUAAAAAAAAAACGAAAACUCAGUUAUACGAUAUGACCUGGCUGAUAACAAAUCAAAAGACCAAAUUAUAAAGGUGUGUGAGAAAAAAAUUCGUUUUCAAUACAAGUUGAACCACUUUCUGAUAUUUUUUUCUUCUUUCUUUCGUGGACUGGAUGUUGACUGCAGUAAAAAAAAAAAAAAGACGGGGGCAAGAAGGAAAAAGUAAGAGAAGACGAGAGCUAAAUAAAAGGCCACACGUCAAUAUCCAUAUAGAGUCAUAGAUAUAUACAUGUGUAUAUAUUCUGUGUAUAUAUUCUUAUAUACUUCCCAGUUCAACCUUUAUUUAAACUCGCUUCUGCUUCUUUGAUUGAUAUCUUUUGUCAUCGCUGUUGCUGCUGUAAAUGAAAAAAA